rnacentral:rRNA from 1 species
UACAGAGGUCUCAAGCGUUGUCCGGAUUUAUUGGGCGUAAAGGGCGCGUAGGCGGCUUGGCAAGUGGAUGGUGAAAUCCCUCGGCUUAACCGAGGAACUGCCAUCCAGACUGCUUUGCUUGAGGCCGGGAGAGGUGAGUGGAAUUCCCAGUGUAGCGGUGAAAUGCGUAGAUAUUGGGAGGAACACCAGUGGCGAAGGCGGCUCACUGGACCGGUUCUGACGCUGAUGCGCGAAAGCGUGGGGAGCAAACGGG